AAUAUGGUAGGAUAAAUAAGUCUAUAAGAUUCAUAUUCUUGGGGUUAAGCUGUAUUU
rnacentral:tRNA from 1 species